AGAGAUCGAGUGAACGGUGAGGUC
rnacentral:siRNA from 1 species